rnacentral:SRP_RNA from 1 species
GCCUGGCGAGGUGGCGCGUGCCUGCCAUCCCAGCUACUCGGGAGGCUGAGGCGGGAGGAUCGCUUGAGCCCAGGAGUUCUGGGCUGUAGUGCGCUAUGCCGAUCAGGUGUUCACACUAAGUUCAGCAUCAAUGUGGUGACCUUCUGGGAGCGAGGGACCACCAGGUUGCCUAAGGAGGGGUGAACCAGCCCAGGUCAGAAACAGAGCAGGUCAAAACUCCCGUGCUGAUCUCCUAGUGGGAUCGCACCUGUGAAUAGCCAUUGCACUCCAGUCUGGGCAACAUAGCAAGACCCCGUCUCU